rnacentral:rRNA from 1 species
GACCCUACGGGACGCAGCAGUGAGGAAUAUUGGUCAAUGGGCGAGAGCCUGAACCAGCCAAGUCGCGUGAGGGAAGACGGUCCUAUGGAUUGUAAGCCUCCUUUGCCGGGGAGCAAAAAACGGUACGUGUACCGCAUCGAGAGUACCCGGAGAAAAAGCAUCGGCUAACUCCGUGCCAGCAGCCGCGGUAAUACGGAGGAUGCGAGCGUUAUCCGGAUUUAUUGGGUUUAAAGGGUGCGUAGGCGGGCUUUUAAGUCAGUGGUAAAAAUUCGGGGCUCAACCCCGUCCGGCCGUUGAAACUGGGG